rnacentral:rRNA from 1 species
UACGUAGGGUGCGAGCGUUAAUCGGAAUUACUGGGCGUAAAGCGUGCGUAGACGGUUAUGUAAGUCGGGUGUGAAAGCCCCGGGCUCAACCUGGGAAUGCCAUCGAGACUGCAUAGCUAGGGUGCGGAAGAGGGAAGCGGAAUUUCCGGUGUAGCGGUGAAAUGCGUAGAUAUCGGAAGGAACACCAGUGGCGAAAGCGGCUCCUGGUCCAGCACCGACGUCAGGCACGAAAGCGUGGGGAGCAAACAGG